rnacentral:tRNA from 3 species
AGGGGAAAUUAAGAGGUUACUGCUAAUAAUCUUUUGUCAAUUAGAUUUGACUUCUCCUU